UUACAACUUUCAACAAUGGAUCUCUUGGCUCUGGCAUCGAUGAAGAACGCAGCGAAAUGCGAUAAGUAGUGUGAAUUGCAGAAUUCAGUGAAUCAUCGAAUCUUUGAACGCACAUUGCGCCCCUUGGUAUUCCAUGGGGCAUGCCUGUUCGAGCGUCAU
rnacentral:rRNA from 9 species